rnacentral:rRNA from 1 species
AUGAAUAGUGAUACACUUCCAACCGCCUCCUCUCCUUGCCCUACGGACAAUGCCGAGGUAUUGUCUCAAGGGGCACCGAGCCGGGGGGAGACAGUCUCGGAGGCGCCUCAAGGCAACCUUCCGGACUCCAGGAGCAAAGGGAGCAAGGCUCCCAGGGGCUCCAAGUUCGGCCCUCAGUCGGACACCGCGCCAGAACCUCCAGUGGUUCCGGACUCGGGCAAGCGGCCCUCUUCCAAGAGGGGCAAGCCGUCCGUGCCGGUGACCUCUGUCCAUCCAAAGGCACCGGACGAACUGCUGGGAGCACUUCGUGGCGCUUCCAUCAACGAAGAGCACCGCACUAUUAUGAGUGCGGUGAUCAAGAAGGUUCAGUCCGCCAAGAGCAGACUGACUGAAGCAUGUGCCAGCCUUCUAAUAGGCUUUGAGGCUUCGCUGCUGACCUCUGCCGCACUGACUGCGGAGGUCAAUGCACUAAGGCAGAACCUCGAGCGGUCCGAGAAAGAGCUUGGUCUUGCCAAGAGGCAGCUCGAGGAGAACAAAGGUAAGUAA